GCAGCUUCAACCGCGUGCGAGCGCGCCUGCAGACUGUGAGCGGUGAGCGGCUCAAGGCGCUCUGCCAGGGCUCUGACCCCCGCCUGGGCAGGGCCAGCCUGGACGUGGCCAACCUGUUGGUCGUCUGUGAUGAGGUGGAAGCAGCUUAGGCCAUGACUGUCCUAAGGAGAAGAGAAUCUACCGAAGAAGAGGAUGCUGUUGGACUCAUUGUGCCUGACGAAGAACAGGAAAGGGUGAUUGCAAUGAAAAUGUUCAUAACCCGGCGCCAAUGUGAGAGCAAAGCCCACACCGGUGCCUGCUGCGGCCUCAGUCCCUUCCUCGGUGACCGCCACAAAGGCCCUGUGCAGGAACUUCUUCACCUGCAGCCCGGAAUGUGAGGACAGCCCCGGAGAGUCCGUUCUGUACUCGCUGAAAGCGUCAGCCGGCCCCAUGGCUGCCAAGACGGCCUCCAGGGCCUCCAGAUCGUACCCAUCUUCCACUUCAAACCGCGG